rnacentral:rRNA from 1 species
GACGAACGCUGGCGGCGUGCUUAACACAUGCAAGUCGAACGGAAAGGCCCUUCGGGGUGCUCGAGUGGCGAACGGGUGAGUAACACGUGAGUAACCUGUCCUAGUCUUUGGGAUAACCUACGGAAACGGGGGCUAAUACCGGAUAUUCCCGUCCAGGCGCAUGUUUGGGUGGGGAAAGCUUUUGCGGAUUGGGGUGGGCUCGCGGCCUAUCAGCUUGUUGGUGGGGUGAUGGCCUACCAAGGCUUUGACGGGUAGCCGGCCUGAGGGGGCGACCGGCCACACUGGGACUGAGACACGGCCCAGACUCCUACGGGAGGCAGCAGUGGGGAAUAUUGCACAAUGGACGCAAGUCUGAUGCAGCGACGCCUUGUGAGGGAUGACGGCCUUCGGGUUGUAAACCUCUUUCGUCAGGGACGAAGCUUUUAUAGGUGACGGUACCUGGAGAAGAAGCGCCGGCCAACUACGUGCCAGCAGCCGCGGUAAGACGUAGGGCGCGAGCGUUGUCCGGAUUUAUUGGGCGUAAAGAGCUCGUAGGCGGCUCAUUGCGUCAACCGUGAAAACCAGCAGCUCAACUGUUGGCUUGCGGUUGAUACGGGUGGGCUGGAGUUCGGUAGGGGAGACUGGAAUUCCUGGUGUAGCGGUGAAAUGCGCAGAUAUCAGGAGGAACACCGGUGGCGAAGGCGGGUCUCUGGGCCGAUACUGACGCUGAGGAGCGAAAGCGUGGGGAGCGAACAGGAUUAGAUACCCUGGUAGUCCACGCUGUAAACGUUGGGCGCUAGGUGUGGGG